rnacentral:rRNA from 1 species
UACGUAGGUGGCAAGCGUUGUCCGGAAUUACUGGGCGGAAAGAGUGUGUAGGCGGUGCUCCAAGUCUGGUGUGAAAUCUCCCGGCUCAACUGGGAGGGUGCGCUAGAAACUGGAAUGCUAGAGGAUGGGAGAGGUAAGCGGAAUUCCUGGUGUAGCGGUGAAAUGCGUAGAUAUCAGGAGGAACACCUGUGGUGUAGACAGCUUACUGGACCAUUUCUGACGCUGAGACACGAAAGCGUGGGUAGCAAACAGG